rfam:Ovis aries breed Texel chromosome 9, whole genome shotgun sequence.
UCCCCAGUGGUGCACUGGCUAAGGACUCUGAGCUCCCAACUCAGGAGCUCAGGUUCGAUCCCUGGUCAGGGAA